GUUAUCUUCAGGACCCAGGACAGUUUACUGCAGUCUAUGUGCACAUGGACCACUUGGCCAGUGCAUCAGCAAACACAGACAUUGCUGGAAGGGCCAAAAAGAUCAAGAAGACUAUGGAGGAUGGAACUUUUGUAGCCUUCAUUCAAGUCAUUCUACCCCAGGCUGUCAGUGGGGUUCAAAACCUC